UGGGGUGGGGCGACACAGGAGCUCCGGAGCACGCUGCAGUGGUGACUGCAGGACCGCGGGGCUUAAAACGGCUGGGGGCCAGAGCUGAGCCAGGAGCAGCAGCAGCUGCUGGCCAUGUCCAUGGAGAAAGUCUUCCUUCUUCAACAGGCAGAGUUGGUGAGGAUCUGAGGAUUGCACAGUGGAUGUCAGGGAUGACAACAAAGGUGGUGACCAUCCUGGAACAAAUUCUUCUGGUGGGAGGCCGUGCUCUUCUGUCUUCACUUCAAGCUGCCCAGGGGCUUUUAGGGUGAGGAGCUGAAAGUCACCCAGCCCUGGUUAACUCUGCAACCUUGACAUACAAAGGGAUGGACCCCUCUCUACCCAGGAGCCCGGGCCUCGUCACCACUCUGUGUCCUCCGUGCCAUCCUUGCUAUCUUUCAGGUGUGGCCAACAACACCUGGCUUUUCCCAGUUGGAACAGGGGAAAGCAGAGUAGCGCUUGGCACAGACUGAGGAAGCUGGAGAAAUGGAGAGGAGCUUCGCCUCCAAGUUUUCCUGGAAGCAGAGUUUCAAAGGCUCCACCUUGGACUCAGUCUCUUUAACCAGGCUCUGGAGACUCUGUCCCAUCUGGAGAGCCUAGGAAUCACAACUGAGGAGGAAAGCUUCUCUUUCAUCAGCCAGGGAAUGGAUGGAGUUCCAGCCCUUGAUGGAGCUGCAUCUUUAGCCUGACAGUUAGGGAACCUGGCAGCAGAGGGCUGGGGGCAGCGAGGGCUGGCACCUUAAAGUUGGACACUGAGUUUGAUGCGUUUCUUCAGUUCUUCAGCGUAACUCUGAUUUGAGUAAGUAUCACAGGCCAUUGACCAGUGUCUGCUCAGCCAGAAUUUGGGAGAUGUUUUGGGCUCCAAAGCCAAUUUGGGAAUUUGGGAAGAAAACUUAAAGGUUUUUAAGGGGUAAGAAAAGAGUCUGGGGUUUUAUUUCAUUCAUCUCACAAUCUGAAAUCUGCACCCCAAAACUUCCAACCUCCCAGGAGAAAUAUAAAACACGAUGCCUUAGGGGCUCAUUCUUUCUGCUCCUCCAUCACUCUGGCCUGUCUUCAUCCCUAGCUAGUCCACCUCCUUUUACUCAGCAAAGGUCUAGAAGCAUGUCUGGACAGGGGGUCACUUCCCCUAAAUGCUCCAACCUUCCCAAAUCCUCCUCCUUUUGCCUUCAAUCUGGAGAAGAGGGUAGCAGAGGAUAAGAUGGUUAGAUAGCAUCACAGACUUAAUGGAUAU